GUUCUCCAUAGUCAGUAGGCUCUAUAAGGUGCUGAGGCAACAGUGGUGAUGCUGGACUCUGACUCUUUGGGACUUCAUACUGGUGUGAAGGCCACAGUGGAAUUAAAACCUUUAGGAAGAACAACGUGAGUGGUAGGAUUAAGACAAAGAAGGAGAAGAACAAUUUGGAUUGUGAAAAACAGAAUAAAUGUCAGAAUAAAUGAUGAGACUGUGA